rnacentral:rRNA from 1 species
AUAACUUUCAACAACGGAUCUCUUGGUUCUCGCAUCGAUGAAAAACACAGC